AUGCUGCCAAACGUUCCUCUAACUGACUCUUCUCUUUCUGAAUAUCAGCAAUGGUGUUCUCCAUUUCUCUCGUACAAUGUUGCAAACCAUCGAUCUCUUGUUCUUUCAGCUGAACUGUACGCUCAAGCUCACUGGUCUUCGUUUCGAGGACCUCGUUGGAAGAAACAUGGGAAUCUACACUGCUGCAAUGGUGUUCUCCAUUUCUCUCGUACAGUGUUGCAAAUCAUCGAUCUCUUGUUCUUUCAGCUGAACUGUACGCUCAAGCUCACUGAUCUUUGUUUCGAGGACCUCAUUGGAAGAAACAUGGGAAUCUACACUGCUGCAAUGGUGUUCUCCAUUUCUCUCGUACAGUGUUGCAAACCAUCGAUCUCUUGUUCUUUCAGCUGA
rnacentral:rRNA from 1 species